CCCCUGGCAGUCCAGCGGUUAAGGCUCUGUAUUUCCACCGCAGGGGGUCCAGGUUCAAUCCCUGGUCAGGGAA
rnacentral:tRNA from 1 species